GUAAACGAUGAGCACUAGGUGUCGGGGUCGCAAGAUCUCGGUGCCGGAGUUAACGCAUUAAGUGCUCCGCCUGGGGAGUACGCACGCAAGUGUGAAACUCAAAGGAAUUGACGGGGACCCGCACAAGCAGCGGAGCAUGUGGUUUAAUUCGAAGCAACGCGAAGAACCUUACCAGAACUUGACAUCCUCCUGACAGGCCUUUAAUCGGGCCCUUCUUCGGACAGGAGAGACAGGUGGUGCAUGGUUGUCGUCAGCUCGUGUCGUGAGAUGUUGGGUUAAGUCCCGCAACGAGCGCAACCCUUGUCAUUAGUUGCUAACAUUAAGUUGAGGACUCUAAUGAGACUGCCGGGGACAACUCGGAGGAAGGUGGGGAUGACGUCAAAUCAUCAUGCCCCUUAUGUUCUGGGCUACCCACGUGCUACAAUGGCCGGUACAACGAGAAGCGAAGUAGCAAGGCGGAGCAAACCUCAAAAACCGGUCCCAGUUCGGAU
rnacentral:rRNA from 1 species